GCCUGUGUAGCUGAUGUGGUCUUAGCGCCGGAUUGAAGUCCCGGAGAUGGAGGUUCGAUCCUCCCGCAGGCA
rnacentral:tRNA from 1 species